AUUGAACGCUAGCGGGAUGCUUUACACAUGCAAGUCGAACGGCAGCGCGGACUUCGGUCUGGCGGCGAGUGGCGAACGGGUGAGUAAUGUAUCGGAACGUGCCCAGUAGCGGGGGAUAACUACGCGAAAGCGUAGCUAAUACCGCAUACGCCCUACGGGGGUAAGCAGGGGAUCGUAAGACCUUGCACCAUUGGAGCGGCCGAUGUCGGAUUAGCUAGUUGGUGGGGUAACGGCCCACCAAGGCGACGAUCCGUAGCUGGUUUGAGAGGAUGACCAGCCACACUGGGACUGAGACACGGCCCAGACUCCUACGGGAGGCAGCAGUGGGGAAUUUUGGACAAUGGGGGCAAGCCUGAUCCAGCCAUCCCGCGUGUGCGAUGAAGGCCUUCGGGUUGUAAAGCACUUUUGGCGGGAAAGAAACGCAGCAGGCUAAUACCCCGUGGAACUGACGGUACCUGCAGAAUAAGCACCGGCUAACUUCGUG
rnacentral:rRNA from 1 species